AGCAGCCGCGGUAAUUCCAGCUCCAAUAGCGUAUAUUAAAGUUGUUGCAGUUAAAAAGCUCGUAGUUGAACUUCGGGGUUUACCCAUUGGUCAGGCUUAAUUGUCUGUACUGGUGAGAUAAAUCUCUACCUUCUGAGGAACUUUCAUGUCAUUAAUUUGGUGUGAUUGGAAAUCAGGACUGUUACUUUGAAAAAAUUAGAGUGUUUAAAGCAGGCUAACGUCUGAAUACAUUAGCAUGGAAUAAUGAAAUAGGACGGACUGAUUCUAUUUCGUUGGUUUCUAGGAUCACCGUAAUGAUUAAUAGGGAUAGUUGGGGGCAUUAGUAUUCAAUUGUCAGAGGUGAAAUUCUUGGAUUUAUUGAAGACUAACUACUGCGAAAGCAUUUGCCAAGGAUGUUUUCAUUAAUCAAGAACGAAAGUUAAGGGGAUCGAAGACGAUCAGAUACCGUCG
rnacentral:rRNA from 1 species